rnacentral:rRNA from 1 species
UAGUUAGUUGGUUAGGUAAACGGCUAACCAAGACUGUAAUGGGUAGGGGUUCUGAGAGGAUUAUCCCCCACACUGGUACUGAGACACGGACCAGACUCCUACGGGAGGCAGCAGUAAGGAAUAUUGGGCAAUGGACGCAAGUCUGACCCAGCCAUGCCGCGUGCAGGAUGACGGCCUUAUGGGUUGUAAACUGCUUUUGUAUGGGAUUAAAGUGUUGUACGUGUACGACAUUGCAAGUACCAUACGAAUAAGCAUCGGCUAACUCCGUGCCAGCAGCCGCGGUAAUACGGAGGAUGCAAGCGUUAUCCGAAAUCAUUGGGUUUAAAGGGUGCGUAGGUUGAUUAUUAAGUCAGUGGUGAAAAUUCUGGGCUCAACCCGGGACUUGCCGUUGAAACUGAUAAUCUUGAGUUGUAACUGAUGUGGGCGGAAUGUGUCAAGUAACGGUUGAAAUGCAUAGAUAUGACACAGAACACCGAUAGCGAAGGCAGUUCACAAAAUUACAACUGACACUGAGGCACGAAAGCGUGGGUAUCAACCAGGAUUAGAUACCCUGGUAGUCCACGCUGUAAACGAUGAUCACUAGCUGUUUGCGAUACAUUGUAAGUGGUUAAGCGAAAGCGAUAAGUGAUUCACCUGGGGAGUACGUCGGCAACGAUGAACUCAAAGGAAUUGACGGGGGCCCGCACAAGCGGAGGAGCAUGUGGUUUAAUUCGAUGAUACGCGAGGAACCUUACCUGGGCUUGAACGUAUGGUGCAUGAGUGUGAAAGCACU